GGGAACCACCUCUUCCCAUUCCGAACAGAGAAGUUAAGCCCGCCAUCGCCGAUGGUACUGCCCCACCAGGUGGGAGAGUAGGCAGCCGCGGUUC
rnacentral:rRNA from 1 species